rnacentral:lncRNA from 1 species
UAAAAUUUUAAUUUAUUAUUAUUUUUGUUUGAAUUUUUUAAGUUAUUGUAAUUAAAAAUUAGUUCAUUAAAUACUAAUAUAUUGCUGAUAUGAAAGUAGCAUGACAGUAUUGUGAUUGACUAUACAAUAAUGAUUAAGAUGUUAUAUCAUUUUUUCAUUAACAAUAUAUCAAUAUUUAGUUAAGUAAAUUAAAUUGUGAGACUUAAAUAUAAUAAUUUAGAAUAAAAUUUAAAAUAAAUUAAAGUUUGAGAAUUAAAGUAUUAUG